UGAACGCUGGCGGUAGGCCUAACACAUGCAAGUCGAACGGCAGCACAGUAAGAGCUUGCUCUUACGGGUGGCGAGUGGCGGACGGGUGAGGAAUACAUCGGAAUCUACUUUUUCGUGGGGGAUAACGUAGGGAAACUUACGCUAAUACCGCAUACGACCUACGGGUGAAAGCAGGGGAUCUUCGGACCUUGCGCGAUUGAAUGAGCCGAUGUCGGAUUAGCUAGUUGGCGGGGUAAAGGCCCACCAAGGCGACGAUCCGUAGCUGGUCUGAGAGGAUGAUCAGCCACACUGGAACUGAGACACGGUCCAGACUCCUACGGGAGGCAGCAGUGGGGAAUAUUGGACAAGGGGCGCAAGCCUGAUCCAGCCAUACCGCGUGGGUGAAGAAGGCCUUCGGGUUGUAAAGCCCUUUUGUUGGGAAAGAAAAGCAGCAGGUUAAUACCCCGCUGUUCUGACGGUACCCAAAGAAUAAGCACCGGCUAACUUCGUG
rnacentral:rRNA from 1 species